rnacentral:rRNA from 1 species
GUUUGAUCCUGGCUCAGGACGAACGCUGGCGGCGUGCUUAACACAUGCAAGUCGAACGAAGCAACCAUUAAGUUUACUUAGAGGUUGACUGAGUGGCGGACGGGUGAGUAACGCGUGAACAAUCUACCUAUCAGAGGGGGACAACACCUGGAAACGGGUGCUAAUACCGCAUGAGACCACACUACCGCAUGGUAGAGGGGUAAAAGAUUUAUCGCUGAUAGAUGAGUUCGCGUAUCAUUAGCUAGUUGGUGGGGUAACGGCCUACCAAGGCGACGAUGAUUAGCCGGCCUGAGAGGGUGAACGGCCACACUGGAACUGAGACACGGUCCAGACUCCUACGGGAGGCAGCAGUGGGGAAUAUUGGGCAAUGGGCGCAAGCCUGACCCAGCAACGCCGCGUGAGGGAAGAAGGUUUUCGGAUUGUAAACCUCUGUCCUUGGGGACGAAGAAAGUGACGGUACCCAAGGAGGAAGCUCCGGCUAACUACGUGCCAGCAGCCGCGGUAAUACGUAGGGAGCAAGCGUUAUCCGGAAUUACUGGGCGUAAAGGGUGCGUAGGCGGCAUAUUAAGUCAGGUGUGAAAUCCUCGGGCUCAACCCGAGACCUGCAUCUGAAACUGAUAAGCUUGAGUAUGAGAGA